rnacentral:rRNA from 1 species
GAAUGAACGCUGGCGGCAGGCCUAACACAUGCAAGUCGAACGAGGUAGCAAUACCUAGUGGCGGACGGGUGAGUAACACGUGGGAACGUACCCUUUGCUACGGAAUAGCCCUGGGAAACUGGGAGUAAUACCGUAUGAGCCCGAGAGGGGAAAAGAUUUAUCGGCAAAGGAUCGGCCCGCGUUGGGAUUUAGGGUAGUUGGUGGGGUAAUGGCCUACCAAGCCGACGAUCCAUAGCUGGUUUGAGAGGAUGAUCAGCCACACUGGGACUGAGUACACGGCCCAGACUCCUACGGGAGGCAGCAGUGGGGAAUCUUAGACAAUGGGGAAACCCUGAUCUAGCCAUGCCGCGUGAUCGAUGAAGGCCUUAGGGUUGUAAAGAUCUUUCAGGUGGGAAGAUAAUGACUGUACCACCAGAAGAAGCCCCGGCUAACUCCGUG